GCAACCACUUGUGCCCAUUGCUUCAAUCUUCUCUUCACCAUUUCUGGAUUCUCCCCUACAAUUAAUUUUUAGUAAUAAUUUUUUUUUUAAAAAUUUAUUUACUACUUAAAGCUAAAAACUCACCUGAAUUGAAUAGGGUGGCGGCCGCGGUAAGGCCGGUGGCAGGGCUACAAGGUUGUGGCGGCGAGUCCCCGUAAUUCGAGGUGGUGGUAGAAGAACUCGCGCUUGGUGUUGGAGGCGAUAACGUGGCGUAAUAAAGAUCAAGAGCGGGUAACGUUCUCGAUAAUUUGUUUGGUUCGCUCGCGAAAUGAAAGCCGAGAUCAACACACCCUUUGAGCUCAUUGAUAUCUUCGGUGGUUAUUACGCUCUUGCUCCGCCUAUGGAGGUUGUGACGGUGGUGUUGGCGAUGGUUGUCUUUUCGUCUUAGCCAUGUCUCUUCACGAUAAAAAUCCGUAGACAAGGAUUUUUGUUUGUCAAGUGGUGGUGGUGGCGGAUAAAAAUCUGUGGACAAGGAUUUUUGUUUGUGAAGUGGUGGUGGCGGCUUUGACAACCGUGGUGGCGGGGAUGUCGGGUUUGGAUGUGACAUCGUUGUCGAUGACGGUGACAGCGACGGUUGUGGUACAACCGUCGUGGGUCCGGAGACCACUAGGUUGGAAUAUUUGGGAAAAUGUGCACGAAUGAAGGUCUAGUAUUGGGUGGAGAAAGUGGAUAGGAUUGUGGUGGUUUUUAUAGUUGUGGUGGUGGGAGGUGGCGGCGUGUGGUGAUGGGUGGCGGGACCCGUACGGCAAAGAUUAGUUGGUUAUUGGGAAAGUGAGUUGUUUGUGAUUAAAAAGGGUUGCUUAGGUUGGCUGAUAUUAGAAAGCAUAAAGCUAAAACAUUGGGGCAAGACCAAAUUAUAAAUGCACGUUAGUGUGUUUAAAUUCCUAUUUUUUUAGUUUGUAUUAAUUAGUAUUUUAAUUUAAUUUUAUGCACUAUUUUUUUUUUGUUGUGAAAGUUGUCAUUUUUAAUCUAGCAGUUAUUUCAAAUGUUAAAUUGGUUAUGAUGUUAGGAGAAUAA
rnacentral:lncRNA from 1 species